GGGUUGUGAGGUUAAGCGACUAAGCGUACACGGUGGAUGCCCUGGCAGUCAGAGGCGAUGAAGGACGUGCUAAUCUGCGAAAAGCGCCGGCGAGGUGAUAUGAACCUUUGACCCGGCGAUGUCCGAAUGGGGAAACCCAGUGUGAUUCGUCACACUAUCGUUAACUGAAUACAUAGGUUAACGAGGCGAACCGGGGGAACUGAAACAUCUAAGUACCCCGAGGAAAAGAAAUCAACCGAGAUUCCCCCAGUAGCGGCGAGCGAACGGGGAGCAGCCCGGAGUCUGAAUCAGCUUGUGUGUUAGUGGAACGGUCUGGAAAGUCCGACGGUACAGGGUGAUAGUCCCGUACACGAAAAUGCACAGGUUGUGAACUCGAAGAGUAGGGCGGGACACGUGGUAUCCUGUCUGAAUAUGGGGGGACCAUCCUCCAAGGCUAAAUACUCCUGACUGACCGAUAGUGAACCAGUACCGUGAGGGAAAGGCGAAAAGAACCCCGGCGAGGGGAGUGAAAAAGAACCUGAAACCGUGUACGUACAAGCAGUGGGAGCCUACUUGUUAGGUGACUGCGUACCUUUUGUAUAAUGGGUCAGCGACUUAUAUUCUGUAGCAAGGUUAACCGUAUAGGGGAGCCGAAGGGAAACCGAGUCUUAACUGGGCGUUAAGUUGCAGGGUAUAGACCCGAAACCCGGUGAUCUAGCCAUGGGCAGGUUGAAGGUUGGGUAACACUAACUGGAGGACCGAACCGACUAAUGUUGAAAAAUUAGCGGAUGACCUGUGGCUGGGGGUGAAAGGCCAAUCAAACCGGGAGAUAGCUGGUUCUCCCCGAAAGCUAUUUAGGUAGCGCCUCGUGAACUCAUCUUCGGGGGUAGAGCACUGUUUCGGCUAGGGGGCCAUCCCGGCUUACCAACCCGAUGCAAACUACGAAUACCGAAGAAUGUUAUCACGGGAGACACACGGCGGGUGCUAACGUCCGUCGUGAAGAGGGAAACAACCCAGACCGCCAGCUAAGGUCCCAAAGUCAUGGUUAAGUGGGAAACGAUGUGGGAAGGCACAGACAGCCAGGAUGUUGGCUUAGAAGCAGCCAUCAUUUAAAGAAAGCGUAAUAGCUCACUGGUCGAGUCGGCCUGCGCGGAAGAUGUAACGGGGCUAAACCAUGCACCGAAGCUGCGGCAGCGACGCUUAUGCGUUGUUGGGUAGGGGAGCGUUCUGUAAGCCGUUGAAGGUGGCCUGUGAGGGUUGCUGGAGGUAUCAGAAGUGCGAAUGCUGACAUAAGUAACGAUAAAGCGGGUGAAAAGCCCGCUCGCCGGAAGACCAAGGGUUCCUGUCCAACGUUAAUCGGGGCAGGGUGAGUCGACCCCUAAGGCGAGGCCGAAAGGCGUAGUCGAUGGGAAACAGGUUAAUAUUCCUGUACUUGGUGUUACUGCGAAGGGGGGACGGAGAAGGCUAUGUUAGCCGGGCGACGGUUGUCCCGGUUUAAGCAUGUAGGCGGAGGUUCCAGGUAAAUCCGGUACCUUUUUAACGCUGAGGUGUGAUGACGAGGCACUACGGUGCUGAAGUAACAAAUGCCCUGCUUCCAGGAAAAGCCUCUAAGCAUCAGGUAACACGAAAUCGUACCCCAAACCGACACAGGUGGUCAGGUAGAGAAUACCAAGGCGCUUGAGAGAACUCGGGUGAAGGAACUAGGCAAAAUGGUGCCGUAACUUCGGGAGAAGGCACGCUGAUAUGUAGGUGAAGCCCCUGCGGGUGGAGCUGAAAUCAGUCGAAGAUACCAGCUGGCUGCAACUGUUUAUUAAAAACACAGCACUGUGCAAACACGAAAGUGGACGUAUACGGUGUGACGCCUGCCCGGUGCCGGAAGGUUAAUUGAUGGGGUUAGCGGUAACGCGAAGCUCUUGAUCGAAGCCCCGGUAAACGGCGGCCGUAACUAUAACGGUCCUAAGGUAGCGAAAUUCCUUGUCGGGUAAGUUCCGACCUGCACGAAUGGCGUAAUGAUGGCCAGGCUGUCUCCACCCGAGACUCAGUGAAAUUGAACUCGCUGUGAAGAUGCAGUGUACCCGCGGCAAGACGGAAAGACCCCGUGAACCUUUACUAUAGCUUGACACUGAACACUGGUCCUUGAUGUGUAGGAUAGGUGGGAGGCUUUGAAGCGUGGACGCCAGUCUGCGUGGAGCCGACCUUGAAAUACCACCCUUUAAUGGCUGGUGUUCUAACGUAGACCCGUGAUCCGGGUUGCGGACAGUGUCUGGUGGGUAGUUUGACUGGGGCGGUCUCCUCCCAAAGAGUAACGGAGGAGCACGAAGGUUAGCUAAUCCUGGUCGGACAUCAGGAGGUUAGUGCAAUGGCAUAAGCUAGCUUGACUGCGAGAGUGACGGCUCGAGCAGGUGCGAAAGCAGGUCAUAGUGAUCCGGUGGUUCUGAAUGGAAGGGCCAUCGCUCAACGGAUAAAAGGUACUCCGGGGAUAACAGGCUGAUACCGCCCAAGAGUUCAUAUCGACGGCGGUGUUUGGCACCUCGAUGUCGGCUCAUCACAUCCUGGGGCUGAAGUAGGUCCCAAGGGUAUGGCUGUUCGCCAUUUAAAGUGGUACGCGAGCUGGGUUUAGAACGUCGUGAGACAGUUCGGUCCCUAUCUGCCGUGGGCGCUGGAGAAUUGAGGGGGGCUGCUCCUAGUACGAGAGGACCGGAGUGGACGCAUCACUGGUGUUCGGGUUGUCAUGCCAAUGGCACUGCCCGGUAGCUAAAUGCGGAAGAGAUAAGUGCUGAAAGCAUCUAAGCACGAAACUUGCCCCGAGAUGAGUUCUCCCUGAGACU
rnacentral:rRNA from 1 species